AGAGAACAUGUUUUUUUGAUCAUGAAAAGUUACAGUCCAAAUUAAAUCGAAAAGGAAAUGGGGAAAAGAUAAGCUUAGAAAAUCUAGUAAAUAUAUGGAGUGUUUUACGAGAUAUCGGCGACGUGGAAGAAAAUGUUGACGGCAAUGCAGAAAUAUAGUUUCUUAUGUAUAUUUUUGUGAAAUAAA
rnacentral:misc_RNA from 1 species